rnacentral:rRNA from 1 species
UACGUAGGGGGCAAGCGUUGUCCGGAAUCAUUGGGCGUAAAGCGCGUGUAGGCGGCUCGAUAAGUCUGCUGUGAAAGUUCAGGGCUCAACCCUGAAAUGCCGGUGGAAACUGUCGAGCUAGAGUACGGAAGAGGUGAGUGGAUUUCCUGGUGUAGCGGUGAAAUGCGCAGAUAUCAGGAGGAACACCAAUGGCGAAGGCAGCUCACUGGGACGUUACUGACGCUGAGACGCGAAAGCGUGGGGAGCAAACAGG